rnacentral:rRNA from 1 species
GAUGAACGCUGGCGGCGUGCCUAACACAUGCAAGUCGAGCGAUUUACUUCGGUAAAGAGCGGCGGACGGGUGAGUAACGCGUGGGUAACCUGCCCUGUACACACGGACAACAUACCGAAAGGUAUGCUAAUACGAGAUAAUAUGCUUUUAUCGCAUGGUAGAAGUAUCAAAGCUUUUGCGGUACAGGAUGGACCCGCGUCUGAUUAGCUAGUUGGCAAGGUAACGGCUUACCAAGGCGACGAUCAGUAGCCGACCUGAGAGGGUGAUCGGCCACAUUGGAACUGAGACACGGUCCAAACUCCUACGGGAGGCAGCAGUGGGGAAUAUUGCACAAUGGGCGAAAGCCUGAUGCAGCAACGCCGCGUGAGCGAUGAAGGCCUUCGGGUCGUAAAGCUCUGUCCUCAAGGAAGAUAAUGACGGUACUUGAGGAGGAAGCCCCGGCUAACUACGUGCCAGCCGCCGCCGUAA